AGAGACAGCAGCCGCCACGGUAAUACGUAGGUGGCAAGCGUUGUCCGGAAUUAUUGGGCGUAAAGGGCUCGCAGGCGGUUUCUUAAGUCUGAUGUGAAAGCCCCCGGCUCAACCGGGGAGGGUCAUUGGAAACUGGGAAACUUGAGUGCAGAAGAGGAGAGUGGAAUUCCACGUGUAGCGGUGAAAUGCGUAGAGAUGUGGAGGAACACCAGUGGCGAAGGCGACUCUCUGGUCUGUAACUGACGCUGAGGAGCGAAAGCGUGGGAGCGAACAGGAUUAGAUACCCGUGUAGUCCCUGUCUCUUAUACA
rnacentral:rRNA from 1 species